rnacentral:rRNA from 1 species
GGCAUCACAGUUCGGAUUGAGGUCUGCAACUCGACCUUAUGAAGCUGGAAUCGCUAGUAAUCGCGCAUCAGCCACGGCGCGGUGAAUACGUUCCCGGACCUUGUACACACCGCCCGUCAAGCCAUGGGAGUCGGGGGGACCUGAAGCUCCGCCUAAAAACGGGGUAAGGGUAAACCCGGUGACUGGGGCUAAGUCGUAACAAGGUAGCCGUACCGGAAGGUGCGGCUGGAACACCUCCUUU